CAGUGGCACCGAGAACCCCGAAUCCAUCCCACGGAUAAGAUAUGCCAGGUGGCGUGAGGCCAGUGGCGGGAAUCGCCCGUGGCGCCCUGCCGCGCCGGCUGGGGAUAAUCCGGGGCAUGCAAUUUGAGGCCAUUACACCACCGGGCCUUUGGCUCGUACUACACCACCUCACCCUCACUCUCUCUUCCCCGGCCAUCCGCGCCAGACGAACUCAGCACCCGCGCGCAGCAAGGAGAGUCCACACGCCCAUGGCCAGCACCAACAUGGCGUCGGCCACCUCGCGGUUCAUGCUGGCCGCUGGCGUGCCCACCGCCGGCAGCGGCAGCGGCAGCAGCGGCCGCGUCAGCUUCGCGCCGGCGCCCAACCAGCUGGGCAGGAGGCUCGUGGUCCGGGCUGACCCGGAAGCUCCGGCUGAACCGGCGGAAGGGGAGGGCGCCGUGGCCACCAAGCCCAAGGCCGAGAAGCCGCCGCCGAUCGGGCCCAAGAGGGGCACCAAGGU
rnacentral:lncRNA from 1 species